rnacentral:lncRNA from 1 species
AAUUUUUCUUUAAAGUUUUUUAUCGAUUUCAUCGUUUCCAAUAGACAAGCAGACGAAUUUGUGACAUUAGAACGAAAGAUUCGAUACGUGUUAAGCGGGAGCUAAUAAAUGUUCGCGUUCCGUUUUAAUCAUUCUUUUGGCUACUCGUUAACCCCCAGAAAUUUGAAAUUUUUUAAUAACAAACCUGAAGGGCACUCUUUUUCACGACACACGAUUGUUUGAAGGUUUAUUUUCACUAGACAUAGAUAGUCAUUUGAAUGGUGCAGUUCCUAUCCUCAGCCCUACAGUGUGCAAAAAUAGAUUGUGGAAAAAACUGCCCAUGCUGAAUCUGCACAAUGCUGGCUUAAUGACUACACAGCAUUAAAAGACUCUUCCCUUAAGGAAGUAGCUGUGGACUUUCUUUAGAUGACUCUUGUAUCAGAAAUAUUUUCCUGCUUCUUGGAACAAGGAACAUAGGAUGCCUUGAUGCCAAUGAAGUGUCAUUGGAAAGAUUCAGGAGAAACCUAAAGUUGGAGGAUGAUACAUUUGUUUCCCAUUACUAGUUUUGUAAAACAAAUGGUAAAUUGGUAAAAAAAAACAUGUCACCUAUUACUUUAAAUAAAUUGUUUUCAAAAGUGGAGAUUAAUUCCAAAUCUUCAGCUUCCCAGGCAGACACCCAUCCACAAAGCCAUGGGUGAUAGAUGAUAUUCACAGCGGCACGACUGCGUUGUAAAUUGGAAUCACUUUUAUAAAGCCAAACAGGUAUAACAAAAAUAGCAUUUAAAAAUUUUUUUGUAUAGAAUUAUGAUGACUCGGCUAUUAAGUAAUGAAAUCGAAUUUUUAAGUUUUGUUACGUUUGAAAGUUACCCAAGAUUAUCGUAUCUCAUUGUUAUUCAUCAUAUAUGUCUGUGUAAUUCAUUGCUGGGAAACUAUAUUACAUGGACUUGUUGUGUCAGUGUUA